rnacentral:rRNA from 1 species
UACGUAGGGAGCAAGCGUUGUCCGGAAUCAUUGGGCGUAAAGCGCGCGUAGGCGGCCCUGUAAGUCCGUUGUGAAAGUCAAAGGCUCAAUCUUUGAAAGCCGAUGGAUACUGCAGGGCUAGAGUCCGGAAGAGGCGAGUGGAAUUCCUGGUGUAGCGGUGGAAUGCGCAGAUAUCAGGAGGAACACCAAUAGCGAAGGCAGCUCGCUGGGACGGUACUGACGCUAAGGCGCGAAAGCGUGGGGAGCAAACAGG